GCGGCCGUAGCUCAGUUGGUAGAGCAUCGGAUUGUGAUUCCGAGUGUCGCGGGUUCAAGCCCCGUCGGUCGCCCCA
rnacentral:tRNA from 1 species